rnacentral:piRNA from 1 species
UGGGAAUUGAAUGCAGGGCUUCUGGAAAAG